rnacentral:rRNA from 1 species
UGGGGAAUUUUGGACAAUGGGCGAAAGCCUGAUCCAGCAAUGCCGCGUGUGUGAAGAAGGCCUUCGGGUUGUAAAGCACUUUUGUCCGGAAAGAAAUCCUUGGCUCUAAUACAGUCGGGGGAUGACGGUACCGGAAGAAUAAGCACCGGCUAACUACGUGCCAGCAGCCGCGGUAAUACGUAGGGUGCAAGCGUUAAUCGGAAUUACUGGGCGUAAAGCGUGCGCAGGCGGUUUGCUAAGACCGAUGUGAAAUCCCCGGGCUCAACCUGGGAACUGCAUUGGUGACUGGCAGGCUAGAGUAUGGCAGAGGGGGGUAGAAUUCCACGUGUAGCAGUGAAAUGCGUAGAGAUGUGGAGGAAUACCGAUGGCGAAGGCAGCCCCCUGGGCCAAUACUGACGCUCAUGCACGAAAGCGUGGGGAGCAAACAGGAUUAGAUACCCUGGUAGUCCACGCCCUAAACGAUGUCAACUAGUUGUUGGGGAUUCAUUUCCUUAGUAACGUAGCUAACGCGUGAAGUUGACCGCCUGGGGAGUACGGUCGCAAGAUUAAAACUCAAAGGAAUUGAC